CGGGCCGGGUCUAGUUAUAAGCAAUUACAAAGCGAAACUGCGAAUGGCUCAUUAUAUAAGUUAUCGUUUAUUUGAUAGUACCUUACUACAUGGAUAACCGUGGUAAUUCUAGAGCUAAUACAUGCUGAAAAUCCCGACUUCGGAAGGGAUGUAUUUAUUAGAUACAAAACCAAUGCCCUUCGGGGCUCUCUUGGUGAUUCAUGAUAACUUCUCGAAUCGCCACGGCCCCCGCCGCCSGCGAUGRUUCAUUCAAAUUUCUUCCCUAUCAACUUUCGAUGCUACGGUAUUGUCCUAGCAUGGUUGCAACGGGUGACGGAGGGUUAGGGCUCGACCCCGGAGAAGGAGCCUGAGAAACGGCUACUACAUCCAAGGAAGGCAGCAGGCGCGCAAAUUACCCAAUCCCGACUCGGGGAGGUAGUGACGAUAAAUACCGAUACAGGGCUCUUUUGGGUCCUGUAAUUGGAAUGAGUACAAUUCAAAUCCCUUAACGAGGAACAAUUGGAGGGCAAGUCUGGUGCCAGCAGCCGCGGUAAUUCCAGCUCCAAUAGCGUAUAUUAAAGUUGUUGUGGUUAAAAAGCUCGUAGUAGAAGCUCGGGCUCCGGCCGACCGGUCCGCCUCACCGCGUGCACUGGUUCGGCCGGGCCUUCACCUUCUGCGGAACCGCAUCCCCUUCACUGGGGGUGUCGGGGAAACAGGACGUUUACUGUGAAAAAAUUAGAGUGCUCCAGGCAGGCCUAUGCUCGAAUAGAUUAGCAUGGAAUAAUGGAAUAGGACGUGUGGUCUUAUUUCGUUGGUUUCUAGGACCGCCGUAAUGAUUAAUAGGGACAGUCGGGGGCAUCAGUAUUCAAUCGUCAGAGGUGAAAUUCUUGGAUCGAUUGAAGACUAACUACUGCGAAAGCAUUUGCCAAGGAUGUUUUCAUUUAUCASGAACGAAAGUUAKGGGAUCGAAGACGAUCAGAUACCGUCGUAGUCUUAACCAUAAACUAUGCCGACUAGGGAUCGGACGGUGUUAUUUCUUGACCCGUUCGGCACCUUACGAGAAAUCAAAGUGCUUGGGCUCCAGGGGGAGUAUGGUCGCAAGGCUGAAACUUAAAGAAAUUGACGGAAGGGCACCACCAGGGGUGGAGCCUGCGGCUUAAUUUGACUCAACACGGGGAAACUCACCAGGUCCAGACACAACGAGGAUUGACAGAUUGAGAGCUCUUUCUUGAUUUUGUGGGUGGUGGUGCAUGGCCGUUCUUAGUUGGUGGAGUGAUUUGUCUGCUUAAUUGCGAUAACGAACGAGACCUUAACCUGCUAAAUAGUCCGUAUUACCCCGGUAGUACGCCGACUUCUUAGAGGGACUAUCGCUCAAGCCGAGAU
rnacentral:rRNA from 1 species